ACGGCCACAAGCUGACGUGGCUGUGUUUAACUCCAGGUUAGCUACCACGACAGGAAUCAUAAUUUAAGCGCCUAGGGCUGGAAUUAAGAAAAACAGCCUUUCUGGUCCCCUUUCAAUCGAUCUUUUCGAUUUCCUUUUUUAAAUUAAUCGGUGACUGCCGGGUUCUUUCAAUAAAUCAGAAACGUCGAGUUGGGUUGCCUAUCUCGCCCCACAGCAGAUGAUACAGAAAUUAACUGUGUGGUUGAUCGUGAAGAAGAAACCUGUAAAUUGCAGGAACAUCAACGUCCUGUGAUGGAAGCAAUGUUAUCAAGUGGUUCUUACUCAACAAUAACCUGCUUACCAAAGCUAAGUUUGAGUUCUGCCAGGGCCACUUGGCUCCAGAUCUCAUUACAGCCUUGAUCGAAACAUGGAUCAAACAUCAGAACCCGAGCUGAGAUUGACUGCCCUUGACAUCAGAUCAGUGUUUGACCGUGACAUCAAGGAGCCUUAACAAAAUUGAAGUCAGUGGGAAUCGGGGGCAAACUCUGCAGUGUUUUGAGUCAUAGCUAGCAGAAAGGAAGAUGGUUGUGGUUGUUGGAAGCCAAUCAUCUGAGCCCCAGGACAAUGCUGCAGGAAUUAAUAUCUUAGACCCAACUAUUUUUAGCUGCUUCAUCAUAGGGUCAGAAGUGGAAAUAUUCACAGAUGAUUGGUACUGAACACUGUGCACUCUCAACUCCUCAAAUACCGUUAUGCCUCAGUCUGUGCCCAUGUGCAGCAAAUUGCCAUCACCAACAAGAGAGUAUUUAAUCAUCUCUCCAUGAUAUUCCUUUGCUGAAUCCUCCAUGAUCAACAUCCUGGGGGGUUAACAUUGACCAGGAACUUAACUGAACCAGCCAUAUGAAUAAUGUAGUUAAAAGAGCAGGCCAGAGGCUAGGAAUUCUGCAGCAACUAACUCAUCUACUGACUCCCCAAAGCCUGUCCACCAUCUACAAGGCAUAAGUCAGGAGUGUGAUGGAAUACUCUCCAAUUGCCUGGAUGAUUGCAGUUCCAACACUCAAACUCAACAUCAUUCAGGACAAAGCAGCCACCUUAAACAAUCACUCCCUCACCACUACCAGUCACAGUGGCAGCAGUGUACUAUCUACAAGAUGCACUCUAGUAACUCGCCAAGCCUUCGACAGCACCUUUCAAACCUCUGACCUCUACCUUCUAGAAGAAUAAUGGCAGCAGACGUGUGGGAACACCAUCAUCUCCAAGUUCCCUCUAAGCCAUACAAAUUAUGACUUGGAACUAUAUUGCUGUUCCUUCACUGUCACUGAGUCAAAAAUCUGGAAUUCCCUUCCUAACAGCACUGUAGGUGUACCAGCACCACAUGGACUCUAGCAGUUCAGGAAGUGGGUCGUCACCAUUUCAACAGCAAUUAGGGAUGGACGACAAAAGCUGGUCUUGGCAGCAACACUUACAUCCCGUUAAUGAAUAAAAGAAAAAUCAAUGGAUUGGUCAGGUGUGCAAUAAUAGUGGCAAAUGGAAUUCAAUCUGGAGAAAUGUGUGUUCAAGCAUUUGGGAAGGACAAACAAGGCAAUGGAAUACACUAAUGGAUAGGUUACAGAGAAGUGCAGAGGAGCAGUGGAACCUUGGAGUGCAUGUUCCCAGAUCUCUGUAGAUGGGAGUUAAGAAAGUAGUUAAGAAAGUAUACAGAAUUCUUCCUUUUAUUAGCUAAGGCAUAGAAUAUAUGCACUGCUGGAUUAUACUGUAAAUGUAUAAAACAUGAGUGAGGCCACAACUAGAGUACUAUGUACAGUUCUAGUCACCACCUUACAAGAAGGAUGUAGUUACUCUAGAGAGGGUAGAGAAGUUUUUUUGAGAAUGUUGUUAGGACUAGAACAUUUUUGCUAUAUGGAAAGAUGGGAUAGGUUGGGUUGUUUUCUUUGGAAUAUGGAGGCAGAGGGGAAAGUUAAUUGAGGUGUAUAAAAUUAUGAACAGCCUAGAUAGAGUGAAUAGGAAAGAACUAAUUCCCUUGGAGAGAGGUGAAUAGCCAAGGGACAUAGAUUUAAAGUUACUGAAAGAAGAAUUACAGGGGAGUUGAGAAUUUCUUUCACCAGAAGGUGGUGAAAUCGCUGCCUGAAAGGGCAUAGUGGCAGAAACCCUCAUCGUGUUUAAAAAAUACUUGGAUAUCACCUGAAGUGCCAUAACCAAUGGACCAGGUACUGGAAAGUGGGAUUAGGCUGAAUAGCUAUUUUCUGACCGGCACAGACACAAUGGGCGGAAUGGCCUCCUUCCCUGCUGCCAAUUUCUAUGAAAAUCACAGUCUGAUCUAUUGAAAAUACCUGCCCAACUCAAUGAUUUCAACAUUCCACACCAGUAAACGCUCUCCAAAAAUUAUGGAAUUGAAUAAGUGCCAGCUAAUUUUAAAAGCCAGUAAUGCAUAAAACGUGUAAAUUUGUUUUUGUUUGCAUGUGGCUUCGCUACCACUUCCAACAUCAGAGACAGCUGAUCAAAUUUUCACAUUACAUUUGAUUUUAAAUGCAGCUAAGUUUUAAACUCGUUUCUUGUCAGUGAAUUAAAGGAACUGUUACCAAUUAA